rnacentral:rRNA from 1 species
GAUGAACGCUGGCGGCGUGCUUAACACAUGCAAGUCGAACGAAGCACUUUAUUUGAUUUCCUUCGGGACUGAUUAUUUUGUGACUGAGUGGCGGACGGGUGAGUAACGCGUGGGUAACCUGCCUUGUACAGGGGGAUAACAGUUGGAAACGGCUGCUAAUACCGCAUAAGCGCACAGCAUCGCAUGAUGCAGUGUGAAAAACUCCGGUGGUAUAAGAUGGACCCGCGUUGGAUUAGCUAGUUGGUGAGGUAACGGCCCACCAAGGCGACGAUCCAUAGCCGACCUGUGAGGGUGACCGGCCACAUUGAGAGUGGGACACGGCCCAGACUCCUACGGGAGGCAGCAGUGGGGAACAUUGCACAAUGGGCGAAAGCCUGAUGCAGCGACGCCGCGUGAGCGAAGAAGUAUUUCGGUAUGUAAAGCUCUAUCAGCAGGGAAGAUAAUGACGGUACCUGACUAAGAAGCACCGGCUAAAUACGUG